rnacentral:rRNA from 1 species
UACGGGGGGGGCAAGCGUUGUUCGGAAUUACUGGGCGUAAAGGGCGCGUAGGCGGCACGACAAGUCGGGAGUGAAAGCCCGGGCUCAACCCCGGAAUGUCUCUCGAAACUGUCGAGCUAGAGUGCGGAAGAGGCAACUGGAAUUCCCAGUGUAGCGGUGAAAUGCGUAGAUAUUGGGAAGAACACCUGAGGCGAAGGCGGGUUGCUGGGCCGACACUGACGCUGAGGCGCGAAAGCCAGGGAGCGAACGGG